rnacentral:rRNA from 1 species
GAAGAAAGGGGGGGGCGUGCUUAACACAUGCAAGUCGAACGGUAAGGCCCCUUCGGGGGUACACGAGUGGCGAACGGGUGAGUAACACGUGAGCAACCUGCCCUUGACUCUGGAAUAACAGUUGGAAACAGCUGCUAAUACUGUAUAUUCAUCGUCUCCUUCCUGGGGGGUGGUGGAAAGCUCCGGCGGUCAGGGAUGGGCUCGCGGCCUAUCAGCUUGUUGGUGAGGUAAUGGCUCACCAAGGCUUCGACGGGUAGCCGGCCUGAGAGGGCGACCGGCCACACUGGGACUGAGAUACGGCCCAGACUCCUACGGGAGGCAGCAGUGGGGAAUAUUGCACAAUGGGCGCAAGCCUGAUGCAGCAACGCCGCGUGCGGGAUGACGGCCUUCGGGUUGUAAACCGCUUUCAGUAGGGACGAAGGGUGACUGACGGUACCUACAGAAGAAGGACCGGCUAACUACGUG